UUAAAAUGACUCACCCUGUAUAUAUAUAUAUAUAUAUUUUAACGACCUGUCUCUUUCCGCGCACGGGGCGGCGUGGGUUCGGCGGACGAGGACGCGGACUGAGGUCGCCAAAAGAACUAGACUGGUGUUGUUGGAUAAAUAAGCGAGUCUUUAUUUCGCGUACGGUCGGUACAAUGCAGAAGCGUGGCGUUCUGGCCACGGCGCGCGGACGGACGGAUGGCGGUGACGCUCGGACGGACGUAACAAAGCUUAGAAUUUACGCGCGGACGGACAAACAAAAAUCAGAACGCGCGGACGGACGGACGGUAUGUAUACGCAAGAUUUGGAACGGUCGGAUUUUAAACGCGGUAUCUUACACGGUGUUUAUUUACAGGUGCGCGGGAUUCCGAGCCGAGAUUCUCGGAAUUCGGAAUCCUUGUUGACGCGCUGGUACCAUGGCCUUGCCGAAGGCUGUGCCCACGGCACUGUGUAGACGACGCGCGCGCGGUACAGCUGCACUUCGGCCCGAUCGCGACGCGCUGCGGUUAGUACCGCGAUGUUCAGUGGUGGUAAUCGACUCACGCUAAGGUCUCUUGGUGGAGGCGCGGAACUCCACACCCCAAGUCGUGAGUCGAUACCGAGACAGGACGGCGGAUCGGGGAAGUGCCGACUACCAGGAUCUCCUGGUGGAGCCCAAGAUGGACUUGAGCCCGUGAACCGGCGGUCUAGGAAAGCGGAUGGCUCAUGUCAAGAUCGCUUGACUGAAGCUAAGGCACUUAACUCCGUUGAGCACUCGGAAUAGACUUCCUUCUCGGACGGGAGAUCGGACGGAGAAGAAGAAGUCUCGACUCUAGGAGCGGCGGCGCUUAUAUACGAGUCUCGAGGGCAGGGACGGUGCGGGGGUACGGAACGGUACGGAGUCGGUGGAGGACUCCCUGCCGCUCGAGAUCGAUCCAGCGGUCGCCACUCCGGUCGAGCGCGUGCGCGCGGAGAUCUGUCGACGCGCGGAUACGUAAACGCGCACUACGUCGAUGUUUGAAUUCUUAUUGACGCUGUGCGCCGUGUUUUCGCUGUCCGGCGGUUGUCCGGCCGAAUAGCCUAAAACGGUGGACGGUCCGAGGGAGGAGCGGAAAGACGUAAGACCAUUAAUUCUUUGAGCCUUCUUCUGAGAGUAUUAAACGCGAUCACAUCGCUUCACGGCUUCAUAACACAAUACUAUUAUAAUAUAAACCACGAUAAAAUAUGCGCUUGUUAUAACGUAUGCGCAAGUGACAAUAAACAGAAGAACAUCAUUCCUUCGACGAAUCCACGAUCCAGGGUAGUGGCUCCUAGGCAACGUCCUUACGGAUUCAGGGCCGCUGCCUCUAGGCGUCGUUGCGGUGGAUACGCACAUCUUCCUUGGACGUUGCCACGGUAUGAUGUGAAUACACGAAUAAAUUAAUACAAAUUAUAACAUUUGCGAUUUGUACAAUAAUAAAUAAAAUAAAUCUUUGAAAAUCCAGUGCGCAAAAUUUAAGUGUUUCCCACUGAACAGAUGUCAUCAGACAUUGGAAAAAUGAUGCAAGAUUGCAUCAUCGUGCGCGAUGCGAAUUGUUUCGUUAAUUACGUACAGAAACACCGUGAAUAAUUGCGAGUGCAGAGUCAGUCGAUCUCAGACCACCGAACAGACAGGACAUGCGACCGAGCAUGCAAAAGGUGAUGAUGUAAGAUUGCACCAUAUGCAACGCGAAUUGUUACGUCGUAAUCUAUGGAACGUGAUUAAGCUGUAACGCGGGAUAGUUGUACACAUUCGGUACAUUAAUUUACAGACAGUUUAAUUUAUUUUUGUAAGUGUACAAUAAAUAUAUAUAUAUAUAUAGUUUA